UACGUAGGGGGCAAGCGUUGUCCGGAAUCAUUGGGCGUAAAGAGCGUGUAGGCGGCCAGAAAAGUCCGCUGUGAAAACUCGAGGCUCAACUUCGAGCUGUCGGUGGAAACUUUCUGGCUAGAGUCCGGAAGGGGAGAAUGGAAUUCCUAGUGUAGCGGUGAAAUGCGCAGAUAUCAGGAAGAACACCCGUGGCGAAGGCGGCUCUCUGGGACGGUACUGACGCUGAGACGCGAAAGCGUGGGGAGCGAACAGG
rnacentral:rRNA from 1 species